UCGAAGCGCGACCAAUCAGGAACUUCUCGUUACUUUUUUACCAUUGUUUUCGGCCGUGUGAGGUGCCGAGCGUCCGAGGCACUCCGAAGUGUCUGCAUUCAAUUUUGUUUUAAUAAUGUUAGUAAUUUUUAAUUAAUAUUGUACUGUGAAUUGUAGUUGGCAUUUUGUUGUUGUUUACCGUCCCGAGUGUUUCAAUAUUCUGAUCUGUUGGUUCUAGAACCGGAUUCAAGAUGUAUACGGGUACUAGUGCUGACCAGGACACUAGAUUCAGUGACAAAGAAAAAAAGCUUUUGAAACAAAUGAAAUUUAGUGAAUCUUUAAACGCUAAGGUUGAUAUGAAUAAAGUAAAGCUAGAUACUAUCAAACCUUGGAUUGGUAAAAGAAUAACAGAAUUGCUAGGAAUGGAAGACGAUGUUGUAGAAGAAUUUGUGAACAAUCAGCUUGAAGCAGAUACUUGGCCUGAUCCAAGAAAAAUGCAAAUAAAUCUCACAGGUUUCUUGAAUGGCAAAAAUGCUCGAGUAUUUAUGACGGACUUGUGGGAAUUACUUUUGUCUGCACAGGAAUCUCCAUCGGGAAUUCCCCCUAAAUUUAUUGAGCAAAAAAAAGAAGAAUUAAAAAAGAAAAUGGAAGAUCAAGAGCGAGUUGGAGAUAUGAUUAAGAAGUUUGAAAAAGACAAAGAAGACAGAGAAAAAGAAAGAAAAAAAGAUAGAGAAAGAAGAAAAAGUCGUAGUAGAUCACAUACACGAGAUCGUCGUAGCAGAUCUAGAGAUCGCCAUCGUGAUAAACGCGAUAAGGAAAAGGAAAGGGAUAAAUAUAAAGAUCAUGAUUCAGAUAAAGUACGAGAAAAACAUACAAAAAGAGAUUCUCGUUCAAAGUCUAAAGGAAAACUUGUAAGUAAUGGACAUACUUCGCCAACUACAAAAGAAAAAAGUCGUAGUUGUUCACCUAAAAAUGAUGUUACCUUAACUGAAGAAAAAACUACCAACUCAAAGACUUCCGUUUCACCAGCUAAAGAAAAAGUAGAAACAAAUAAUAAACCUAAACCUAAAGAUCGAUCAGUAUCUAGAGAUUCUACUAAACGUAGGGAGAAGAGACGACAUCAUUCUUCUUCAUCAAGUCGUAGUUCAUCAUCAUCUAAUUCUUCUCUAAGCCCUGACCGUAAAAAAGAUUUUGAAAUUCAGAAAAAAGAAAACAGUAUCCAAAAAAAAAGACAAUACCGAACAAAUAAAGAUGACUCUUCUGGUAGUGAAUCGGACAAAGAUAAAUCUACAGAUAGAAGAGAUCGCCGUGAUCGUUCAUCUUCUCGAUCAAGGCGUCCAUCUAGGCAUGCUUUCAAUCGUGGCCGCUAUCGUGAAAAAAGUCGUGAUCGUUACUAUAGAGAUAGAGAAAGGGAAAGGGCAAGAGAAAGAGAACGUAAUCGCCGUGAUCGUGAGAGGGAACGUAGAGAUAGAGAAAGAGCAAUUCGUGAAAGGGACCGUGAACGUGAUAGGCGCCGGCAGAGAGAAAGAGAAGAAAAAUCAUCACCUCGAAGAAGGAAAUCUAGAAGUCCUGAAAGAAAAUCUAGAUCGGGCAGCAGGCAUACCAGAUCUCGUUCAAAAUCUAAAAGGAGACCAAGUGGAAAAUCACGUAGCAGGGAACGUACUGUUAAAGACUCCAGUAUUGUUUCUCCGACAAAAAAAGAUAACUCUUCAAAAUCAAAGGUAUCUCAAGAAAGUUUAUCUAGAACCCCUUCACCUUUUAAGAAAGCUGAAGACAAGACAGACCGUAAACCGGUAAAAGAUAGAUUGGGUGUUAGAGAUGAACAACAUUCUAAAUUUUCUCAGCCACAAAGAUCAAAAGGACAAUCUCCUUCAUCAGAAAAGAAAAAUAACACAGAUAAAAAAAAUUCAUCAAGUUCAAGACGAAAAUCAUCAACAUCUCCUGCUAUUAAAAAGAAAGAUGAAGAAAAAACAGAAAAAGUUAAAAAACCUAUAAAAAAAUCUGACACUUCUGAUGCUGAAAACUCCAAAGUUAAAAAAAAGGAAGAAUCAAGUUCAUCAGAUGAAUCUAUAAAAAAGACUAAAAAGAAAGUUAAAAGAGAUUCUAGCUCAGAUGAUGAUAAAGUAAAAGCUAAAAAACGGAAACUCAAGGAUUCUACUUCAUCUGAUGAUGACGAUUCUAAGAAAAAAAAGAAACGUAAAAAGAGAUCGUCCAGUUCAAGUUCAGAUGAAAGUGAUGACAAAAAAAAGAAAAAAGACAAGAAACAUAAAAAACAUAAGAAGCAUAAGAAACACAAAAAACAUAAGAAACGCAAGACUGAAGAAAGUGGUUCUGAUGCCAAAUCUGGAGAUGAGUCAGAACAACGUCUAAGGGAAAAGGCAUUGCGUACCAUGAAAAAGAAAAAUCAGGCUAAACUUGACGGAACUCCGAAUAGUAAUAGCAGUGAAUAACGAACGAGCAACGAGAAUUUGACAGGUUAGCCUACUGUCCAGUCAACAGGCUGCUGACUUGUUGGCAGAGUUAUACUUGCAUCGUUUUCAUAGCGCUGUCUGAUCGUUUUUGAAGCCCCACAAUUGUUUUCUUUCAAUCAACAUUUUUAAUGAGCAACUACAGUACACCUAUCAACAUUCAUUCUGCAUUUCUCCUAUCAACAUAUCUGCAAUCAACAUUACUUCUAUCAACACACCUGCAAUCAACACUCUUUCUAUCAACAUAUCUACGUUCUACAUUACUUCUAUCAACAUAUCCAUGUUCAACAUUCCUUCUAUUAACACCAAAUCUUCACUGCAAUCAACAUUUCUGUCAUCGUCAAAUAUUCUUCAAUACUCUUUCAAGACCAUUUGAGUGUUUUGCGAUUUCCAAUGAUUGAAAACUAGCACUUGUCCACUAAUUACUCAUAUCCGUAUGAUUAGUAUAAUCCAGAAUAAGAUGACUUGUGCAAAUUUUAAUAUCUUAACCAAUGAUAGUUGUGUUAUGGAUAAAUACAAUACCUACGACCGCUGUUUGAAAA